rnacentral:tRNA from 1 species
GCCUUUGUGGCAUAAUGGUUAGCGCACUCGGCCGGUAUUCGAGAGGUCAAGGUUCGAGACCCGGCGAGGGCA